rnacentral:lncRNA from 1 species
CCGGGCUCUGAGUGCUCUUGCCCGUCCGGCCCCAGCCGCGGCCCGGGAAUCUACGUCAGCCGAAAAGCUACUAUAAACGCCCGCGCCUCCGUCCCCAGCCGCGGCUCGGGAAUCUACGUCACCCGAAGAGUGGCUAUAAACGUCCGCGCCUCCUUUGCGCUCCCCUCUUCACUUAGGACACUGGGCCUCCCACGCCUGACACCGACGUCGCCAGGACCGCGGGGUUGGGGGAACUUGGCUGUCCCACGUCUUUCAAAUAAAGCUGUUUUGUCUAACUCAC